rnacentral:rRNA from 1 species
GAUGAACGCUGGCGGCGUGCCUAAUACAUGCAAGUCGAGCGAAUGGAUUGAGAGCCUGCUCUUAUGAAGUUAGCGGCGGACGGGUGAGUAACACGUGGGUAACCUGCCCAUAAGACUGGGAUAACUCCGGGAAACCGGGGCUAAUACCGGAUAACAUUUUGAACCGCAUGGUUCGAAAUUGAAAGGCGGCUUCGGCUGUCACUUAUGGAUGGACCCGCGUCGCAUUAGCUAGUUGGUGAGGUAACGGCUCACCAAGGCAACGAUGCGUAGCCGACCUGGGAGGGUGAUCGGCCACACUGGGACUGAGACACGGCCCAGACUCCUACGGGAGGCAGCAGUAGGGAAUCUUCCGCAAUGGACGAAAGUCUGACGGAGCAACGCCGCGUGAGUGAUGAAGGCUUUCGGGUCGUAAAACUCUGUUGUUAGGGAAGAACAAGUGCUAGUUGAAUAAGCUGGCACCUUGACGGUACCUAACCAGAGAGCCACGGCUAACUACGUGCCAGCCGCCGCAGUAA